UGGGGAAUAUUGCACAAUGGGCGCAAGCCUGAUGCAGCGACGCCGCGUGGGGGAUGACGGCCUUCGGGUUGUAAACUCCUUUCGCUAGGGACGAAGCUUUUUGUGACGGUACCUAGAUAAGAAGCACCGGCUAACUACGUGCCAGCAGCCGCGGUAAUACGUAGGGUGCGAGCGUUGUCCGGAAUUACUGGGCGUAAAGGGCUCGUAGGUGGUUUGUCGCGUCGUCUGUGAAAUUCCGGGGCUUAACUCCGGGCGUGCAGGCGAUACGGGCAUAACUUGAGUACGGUAGGGGUAACUGGAAUUCCUGGUGUAGCGGUGAAAUGCGCAGAUAUCAGGAGGAACACCGAUGGCGAAGGCAGGUUACUGGGCAGUUACUGACGCUGGGGAGCGAAAGCAUGGGUAGCGAACAGG
rnacentral:rRNA from 1 species